rnacentral:tRNA from 1 species
GCGGCUGUAAUUCAGUGGUAGAAUGCUUGCCUUCCAAGCAAGACGUCACGGGUUCGAAUCCCGUCAGCCGCU